CAGCAAUUGGUCCUUGAGGUGCCCAUUUAGAUUAUGCUUUGUCUCGGACCUUUAAAAUCCUAUUUGGAUUAUGCAAUUAAAGAGGAUUCAAGCAGGUCGCCGCCGCCAAUGGCUCCUCUCCCGUACUCCGCCGCGCCCACCACGGAAACCGCCUCUCCGCCUGCGUCCGCCGCCAUGCCACCAACGAUGGUCGGCCGUCCGUUAGGUCGUGGUUUCGCACUUGCAUGAACUCCUUCCGCUCUUUACGAAUCUCUUGCGGUUCCCAAGACUGCACGCACUUAAGACGCUUGCAAGAAUGCCAAACCCUGUUUCUUCUGCAAUUGGUAUAUUCUUGGAACCAGGUUUAUGUGGAUUCUAGGUGCUGUUCUGAUAUCCAGUACGAGAGAAGAGAACCAGAUACGCAGGAUGAUGCUGACAUUCUCGAUUUGCUCAUGAGCGUGAGGUUAUUGCCUUCCUUGCAGACAUAGGAAGUAUGCCAAAAGAGUAACAUAGAUCGCUUUCAAGCUGUACCUGAAGUAUAGACUCAUAAAAUUCCAUUGCAAUGAAGGUGCAUCCAACCAUUCAUGUAAGAAGGUAGGUGAAUCCUGUUUCUUGCAACUCUUACGUUCUUCUAUCGAAUCAUACUUUAUCAUACGGAUGCAGUUAAACUUUCUGAUAUAUCUAGAGAUUUGUGGGAAAGAAUUUUAAUAUCUCAUGGAGGGAUAAGGACAGCAUUUGAACCUUGAGAUUGCAAAAGGACCGAGCUUUUGGUGAGCUUGCUCUAAAGCUGCUGUCUCUUGCCGAGCUGCCAGACUCCAUGGGUCGACAAAACCACCUGUGGUAUCAGAGAAACACCUCUUGGCUCCUCCAAGACUAUGUCUAUUCUUCUGGUGUUGCAUGAUUCCAUCUUGGGUGGUGAUAUACCUUGGGAUCGUUCCACCUGCACAACUGCCACGUUUCCCGUCACCAACUUCCUGACCAUUCACUAGUGACAUGCCAAGCCUCAGCUCCAAAUUGUUCAGGUAGCCACUUGCAGUUUUAUUAGCUCUGUCUUCAUGAACUUCUCUUCUCCCAUCUUUAGGAGGUGGUUCAAGUACUGUGGCCUUCAUGGUCCUUCCUCUUGCUUGGGUGAGAUGAGCUUUGUGGCUGUAAGGAAUGAUGAAAGGCAGGGUGCAAGACUGCUCUUUUUGUUGGGUGUUUGCGAGGUGAGAAAAAUGAGGUGGAAUGAUGGUGGGAGGAGGGGUUGGAUGAAAAAGGAAGGGAGCUUUGUGGGGACUCUGGUGGCUAUUGAAGUGGAGUGGUGGGAGCAAGAAUGUGAGAACUGUGAAGGGCAGGCAGGCUUUGCUUUGUGGGGCUGGAGAGAGCUACUUUAUUUUGCUUUCUGCUUCUCUACCCAUCAAAUUCCUUUAGCUAAGUGGAUAUGUUUCCCACUUUUCUACCACACUGCCGAUACAUGCAGCCUCUCUAUCACCUCACAUAACCUGUUCAAUGGGCCUUGAACAGGUACUACUUAGGUUUAUCAUUUUGUGACUAUCAUGAUGAGAUAUAUGAGGAUUGCUGCUCCAUGCAAGGAAAUGAUUAGCCAAAUACAACCUGGAAAAUUAUAAGCCAAGAUUUCCCAGCUGUAAGAUGGGAAACUUGGGACAUGAGUCUUCAGCUUAACACAAUACUAGAUGGGAAUGGGAAGAGCAUACAAGUGGAGUAGAGCCUCUUGCGAAGAAAUGGUAACCUUUUUGCUCCUUGUCAAGUGGAGUAGAGCAUACAAGUGGAGUAGUACCCCGAAUGAACAGGAGAGAGAAGCCUUUUUGCUCCUUGUCAAGAGCAACAUGGUUAUCAUCUUGGCAUGGAGAGAAGGAAGUCAUGUUUAUCUCCCUCGGAGACAACAAGAUGGCAGUGAAGAUACAGCAAGCUUGUUUUGGGAUAGUCGUAAUCAUCAAAGCAAAUCCACCAUGAGAAGCUUGUCCUGAGGUUGAGCUUGUUCUGUUCUUGUCACUUGAGAUUCCUGGUGGAGUUCCCUACACUUCUCUUUGUGGCUGUCUCUUUCCACCAAACCAACAACAGCUCAGUUCUUGACAAUCUAAUUGAGUGACAAAUCUUCCAUGGAUGAAUUAUUUUACCAAGUCAUGAGUUGAGAAUAAAUGGAAAUAGAAGACUGUAAUAUAUUGAAUGUGUUGUUAAAUAGCUUUAUGUGCAAUCAAGAGGUCUGGAUUUUGAGUUC